GCAUCAAUGGUGUAAGGGUAGCACGGGUGCCUUCCAUUCACAAUUGGUCAAGCACCCAAUCCGCGUUCGAGUCGCGGUUGAUGCACAA